AUCCUGGCUCAGGAUGAACGCUGGCGGCGUGCCUAAUACAUGCAAGUCGAGCGAACUUUUGGGAGCUUGCUCCCAAAAGUUAGCGGCGGACGGGUGAGUAACACGUGGGCAACCUGCCUAUAAGACUGGGAUAACUUCGGGAAACCGGAGCUAAUACCGGAUAACAUAUGAGACCACAUGGUCUCAUAUUAAAAGAUGGCUUUUAGCUAUCACUUAUAGAUGGGCCCGCGGCGCAUUAGCUAGUUGGUGAGGUAAUGGCUCACCAAGGCGACGAUGCGUAGCCGACCUGAGAGGGUGAUCGGCCACACUGGGACUGAGACACGGCCCAGACUCCUACGGGAGGCAGCAGUAGGGAAUCUUCCGCAAUGGACGAAAGUCUGACGGAGCAACGCCGCGUGAGCGAAGAAGGUCUUCGGAUCGUAAAGCUCUGUUGUUAGGGAAGAACAAGUACCGUUCAAAUAGGGCGGUACCUUGACGGUACCUAACCAGAAAGCCACGGCUAACUACGUGCCAGCAGCCGCGGUAAUACGUAGGUGGCAAGCGUUAUCCGGAAUUAUUGGGCGUAAAGCGCGCGCAGGCGGUCCUUUAAGUCUGAUGUGAAAGCCCACGGCUCAACCGUGGAGGGUCAUUGGAAACUGGGGGACUUGAGUGCAGAAGAGGAGAGCGGAAUUCCACGUGUAGCGGUGAAAUGCGUAGAGAUGUGGAGGAACACCAGUGGCGAAGGCGGCUCUCUGGUCUGUAACUGACGCUGAGGCGCGAAAGCGUGGGGAGCGAACAGGAUUAGAUACCCUGGUAGUCCACGCCGUAAACGAUGAGUGCUAAGUGUUAGAGGGUUUCCGCCCUUUAGUGCUGCAGCAAACGCAUUAAGCACUCCGCCUGGGGAGUACGGUCGCAAGACUGAAACUCAAAGGAAUUGACGGGGGCCCGCACAAGCGGUGGAGCAUGUGGUUUAAUUCGAAGCAACGCGAAGAACCUUACCAGGUCUUGACAUCCCGUGACAACUCUAGAGAUAGAGCUUUCCCCUUCGGGGGACACGGUGACAGGUGGUGCAUGGUUGUCGUCAGCUCGUGUCGUGAGAUGUUGGGUUAAGUCCCGCAACGAGCGCAACCCUUGAUCUUAGUUGCCAGCAUUAAGUUGGGCACUCUAAGGUGACUGCCGGUGACAAACCGGAGGAAGGUGGGGAUGACGUCAAAUCAUCAUGCCCCUUAUGACCUGGGCUACACACGUGCUACAAUGGAUGGUACAAAGGGCAGCAAAACCGCGAGGUUAAGCCAAUCCCAUAAAACCAUUCUCAGUUCGGAUUGCAGGCUGCAACUCGCCUGCAUGAAGCCGGAAUCGCUAGUAAUCGCGGAUCAGCAUGCCGCGGUGAAUACGUUCCCGGGCCUUGUACACACCGCCCGUCACACCACGAGAGUUUGUAACACCCGAAGUCGGUGGGGUAACCGUAAGGAG
rnacentral:rRNA from 1 species